UACGGAGGGUGCAAGCGUUGUCCGGAUUUAUUGGGUUUAAAGGGUGCGUAGGCGGUUUAUUAAGUCAGUGGUGAAAGACGGUCGCUCAACGAUUGCAGUGCCAUUGAUACUGGUAGACUUGAGUAUGAUUGAGGUAGCUGGAAUGGAUAGUGUAGCGGUGAAAUGCAUAGAUAUUAUCCAGAACACCAAUUGCGUAGGCAAGUUACUAAGUCAUAACUGACGCUGAGGCACGAAAGUGUGGGUAUCAAACAGG
rnacentral:rRNA from 1 species